CUCAUAAGAAUAUCUGCGCGUGCGGAGGAACGCGACUUUUUUCUCGUUUCCCUUUUGUCCCCCUUACGUGAAGUUCGUCCGUUCACGUAGGCUUUGUAUGUCUUAACCUGGAGCUGAAGCACGCCUUGACCGCGGUGUGCAUUGGUGCUGUCUUGUAGAGACUUCGGUGGACCCAUGCGCGGCUCCUGAAUCAAUGGAGCUUUUAUUUACUAAUUUGGCAUAUUGCGUUUGCUCUCUUGCUUUCACCGAAACUGUGUUCACUCCUGUCGGCGUGGGUGGCGUUGCUUUCUGAUGUUUUUUUUUUGUUCGCGCCAUUUCUCUGCGGGCAGCUUAGAACGUAGUAGUGAUGCACCCCGAAGAUGGCUUGGGCACAUCUGGUGCUGCUCCGAUCUCCGCGUCGGAGGCAUUGCAUAGCUUUGGUGGGUGUCUCACAGCGUACGAAAGAAAGGAGAUAGUGCAGUACGAGACCAUUCACUACGUCGGCCAAAGAUGCGUUGACAAGAUGGGGUCGCCAACCAACGGUCGUAAUGACGGGUACGACACCGAGGAAGGUGAAUACAUCUUCCGCGUCAAGGACCACAUCGCUUACCGCUACGAGAUCCUCAAGGAGUUGGGAAGCGGCGCAUUUGGUCAAGUCUUCAAGGCAAUCGACCAUUUGGAUAGUUCAAUUGUAGCGGUGAAGAUGAUUCGAAACCAGCGCAAGGUACUGCAACAGGCUGAGCAGGAGAUUCGCAUGCUACAGCAUGUGAACGACCGCGAUCCAAAAGGACUCUACGGCAUCGUGCGCAUGACAGACAACUUCAAGUUUCGCGGACAUACAUGCGUCAGCUACGAACUCCUGGGUGCCAACCUAUAUGAAUACCUUAAAGCGAACAACUUUUUCCCGAUGACACUGUCGUUGAUCCGCAGCAUUGCUGCGCGCGUGCUGGUGGCGCUGACGUUUCUAGCGCGCGAGAACAUAAUUCACUGUGACCUGAAGCCCGAGAACAUUCUGCUGCGCGACAACGACCCGUCUGUCGUGAAAGUGAUCGAUUUAGGGUCUGCGAGCUUCGACGUGAAAAACAUGUACACAUACAUUCAGUCGCGCUUCUAUCGCGCGCCUGAGGUAAUUAUGGAGCAGAAGUACGACAAGGCAAUCGACUGGUGGAGCUUCGGAUGCAUACUGUGCGAACUGGCCAACGGCGACCCCGUCUUUCCCGGCGAGGAUGAGAAAGAUCAGCUAGGGUGCAUCAUGGAGUACCUAGGACCACCGCCACAGAGCUUUGUAGAGGCCUCCUCUGCACGGCGGAGGCGCGAGUUCUUCGACGAGCGUUACAAGCCGCGACCCCGCACUACGUGCAAGGGUAAGCAACGUGAGCCAGGGUCACGAUCGCUGGCGAAGUUCGUGGCUGUUUCAGAGGACGACGACUUUUUGAGUUUUGUGCGCCUCUUUCUGCAGUGGGAGCCGUCGAAGCGGGUCCCACCGCGCGAAGCGAUGAAGCACCGCUGGAUCUGCGGCGAAUUUGUCUUUCCCAACCAGUCGGAGGAAAAGCCGGAGUUGUCAUCGUUGACAAAGGAGAGCAACGGCUCUGCCGCCGGGUCGCUCAAGGCGUGUAUGCCUCAAGAGCCUGCCGCACCACUCAAAACGGAGGCAUCCACAUCCACCACCGUGGGGCAACCUUUCACGGCGCGCGGGGCCCCGGCGGAUUUGCCAUCGCCGAGUGCUGCGCAUCAAAGAGUGCAAAGGCCGGCGCCGUUGCCGCAGCCGCCCACUGCCUGCACAUCCAGAGCGAACUGCAACGCCCUCUCAGGUGACGGUGCCAUUUCCGUGGACACACUGCCAUGCUCUCGCGACGCAUCCGCUAGCACUGAGACGCGCGGCGCGGCUCGAUUGACAGACGCGAAGGUGCAGCGGCCGCCAGCACAGCGACGGCAGAGCGGACGCCUGCAGCGCGGCAGGCAGCGACGUUCCACAGACAUGGCAGACGUUGAAAUGCCGGGCGAGGCCAUUACUUCACCGAACCACUCAACAUCUCUUCACACACCAUGGGAUGCUGAAGAGUCCUCUGCAGAGCAGCGCACGCGUGAGUUUAUAAUCGCUGCGAAUUCCGCAUCUUCUCCAUCCUCCUCCGCAUGCGGAACCGCCACGAGAGCGACCAACGCAAGGCCUCACGAAGUGCGCCUCGCCAACAGAGUGCUCUCGUCAGAGGUGCUGUCGGCUGCCAUCUUGCGCUCUAGCGCCAACCCCAUCAUCUUCACUUCCCGCGGCAGGAAUGCCCACUCACCUGAGAACAAGGCAUCACCAAAUGCGUCUCACAGCAAGAUCACCAACGGUGGCGCCGUCGGCAACGCGCGCGGCGGCGACAGUGCAGGAGACGUGCACACGGGGGUGUUAGAGCUGCGCCAGAAGUACGCGGAUUCCAAGACGAAGGCAGGGACUGUCGAUCUGGUUGACAGGAGUGGCAGCUUCAUUGCCUUUGAUAGUCUUUCGCGAUGGCCCAACACGGCGGGGAAGACGCAAUUAGGUGGGCGUCGGCAAGGGAGUGCGAGUGCACCAGACAGGCUGGAUAGCCGCGGCCGCACAUCGCCUGGAGUGUCGACUGAAUCUCCGAGAGGGCAGCCGAGAGGGGAACGCAGAGAGUAUUCGAUCAACCUCGACGCAGCGACUUUGCCUCCCACCGAGGUGUACCAGCCCGCUGCAGUGAAAGGCAGUCUGCACGCGGGAGAGUACAUGCUACCGUCAGAACUGCAGCCGUUUAGUGAAGACGGUAGAUCUAGCAGUCCCCACGAUGUCGAGGUAGCGCCGAAGUGCAGGCUUCUGGCAGCAAUGAUGUCAGAGCCGCGCGACAAGAGUGAGAAGAGCCAGCUCUCGCUGCAGCCACGGGGCAGCUCUCCUCCCUCUUCGUCUGGCCCAUCCGCUGUUGCCACACCCUCCCUAAGGCCGCAGUAUACGCGUCGGCAGCGCAGCACUCAAUGCAGCAUGCUCGCCAUGCGUGACGGCGGGGCGGCGCAUGCUGCCGCAAGAAGCCAGCGUUCGGUGACAGGUGCCGCAGCGCCGAUGUCGUGGAAAAGGCCAGCUGUUCAACCCAGCGACGUGCCCCUGGUACCGCCUCGGCAAACGUUGACCCAGCGAUCUCUACUGCCGCAGCGGAACGGUGCUGGAACCCGGGGCGGAGAUGUGGGGAAACCUUCCACCACCCCUACGCCGCAGCUACCAUCGCUCAAGAGAUACUCGGCUCACUGAGUGCUAGACGCGUGUGCUGUCCAGCUGGAUAAGAGGUGAGCUGGGUGCAGGGUUUUCCCCCGCGAAGCAUGCCAGUAGUGGCGUGAAACGGGUGGGCCUGGGCAGAGAAGCAAUGACGAGGUCGACUCUCAGACGAGUGCACCUUUGCCCGCGAUAUUGCUAUUAUGCGUGGCGCUGAGCAGAAUGCACAUCAAGAAAAAGGUAAGAAGCCCCGAAGAGGUAGCGGAGGCAAGACGGAUACGCCUGGGAUGUCGAGAAAAGCAUGCUUUAAAAUUCAUUUUCGUCUGCCUUUCCACUCGUUCGCCUUUUUCUUGGUUUACGGAUGGUGCGCGCUUCGGCUACUUGCGCUUGCACGUGCACGUGUGUCUCUGCACCUGGAUAUCUUUCUUGGUAUGUGCAUCUCGGUAUGCUUAUUGUUCAGUACCAGCGCGUCGCCCUCGCUUCGAGUCUGAGCGUUCGCUUCUUUGCUUUUUCAACGAAAAGAGAGAGUGAGGAUGCGCGCUUGGUGCUCCGGCUGAAAAGGACACGCGCAUGAUGGCAGAGAGCUGCUUUUCUCUGAUACAGCACUGCGUCUCGCAUCAUUCUUGCGGAUCUUCUAGGUGUGAAAUGCUUAUCUUCGGCGGUCACGCCCUUUUUGUUUUCCCGGUUGCUUGGUCUUCGCUUACUCCUUCUUUUUUUCUAUUCCUUUUGCCCAUAUCUUGGGGAGUUUCUACGAAUGUGCCGAGUGAGCUCCUCGUUUUACUUUGUGCCGUGAUGCACAGAACGUGGUGCUUCAAUGAUGGUUUCGCUCUUUUUUGUCCUUCCUCUUUUUCUUUUCCAGCAUCCUUUGCAGAAUGUACUUCCUCCACGCUGUGUUGGAGAGUUGUAGAGAGCGUGCGGAUGGUAGCUGUGGCGAUGGGUUACGAGGGCCGCCCAAGACGCGCACGUGUGAUGCUCAUCACCGAGUAUUCUAUCCACUGGAGGAGCAAGGGCAAGGAUGACACGCUCAGCCGCUCUUUGCCUUUUUCCAUUCGUUUACUUCUUCCUUGUCAGUUCUCGGCCACGGCGCAUGCUUCCUAGUCCUCUGAGCCUCAUUGCGUGCCCUUGUUAUUCCUUUUGUUGUCCCUCAUUUUUCUUACCAAUAAGUCGGAAGCUCUUCAUUCUUCUUGUCGUUCACAUUAAUAUAUAUAUAUAUAUAUGGCUGCUCCUCUGUCCUCCUCAUGCUCGAAGAAACGAAUACACUGUGCCCGUCUACUAUUCUUACGUUCUUUCUGCCUUUGGAUCUUUCCGCACAAAACAACCGCAACAACGAAAAAAGUGUGUUCUUGUGCGAGCGCGUGAUGAAGCGGGUGGCGAUGGAAAAGAAAACUAAAGCGAAAGAAUGAAAAAAAAAGUGUGGAUGAGGGUGGUAGUGGCGGCCGCGUGUUUGCAUAAACACAUGUGUUUAUCUGUGUCUCUUUCUUUCUUGCUCUUUUUUGGUUGUUGUUUCUUUGCUUACCUGUGCCAUCGUUUUUCUUCGUGCUUAUUAUUCUGUGUGUACAUGAGCGCGUAUGUCUCCAUAUGGCGAGAGUGUGAGCAGUGGCCGGUGCGUGGCUUCUCGUGCAGGCGCACGCCACUUGCAGCAAAGCUAGUAAGCGAACACGCCAUCAGCGGAUUUAUAUCAACGCAUUCAUUCUGCCGUAGAACAGGAGCCCAACGCCACGCUAGCCCCGGCCCGUCGCAGGCCCCCAUCGCGUGGUGCGAAGCAGCGCUAGAGACACGCGCAUCACAGCCGUGCGCCGGCGCAGCCAUCUCAGCACGGGCCCUGCCUCAGCCUCUGCCAGCCUCUUCUGCGCACGCAGCCCCACAGCUGCCCCCACUAUGCCGGCCGCCACCCGGCGCAUCCCUCGGCGUGGCGCAGGCGCCACACACCAGGAGGCAGUGAGGGCCGGGCGGGUCGCGGUCGAGUCGCGCUGACACUCCGCCCAUAUAGCAUGGAUGGCGCAGCCCGGUGCACGGUCGCGGGUCGCUCCGACGCAGCGCCAUCCACGACCUGGCCGCCCACGUCAGCAGCGAUGCAUCGCUCUGACCUCCCCCACGUCGUAGGCGCCUGACCCUGCCACCGCCAGGUGCGGUGCAGCAUUGGCAGGGGAUAGGGGCUGCCUGGCUUCUUCCCCACACAGGGCGUGUACAGAGUCAUGGGUACCACGCGCCGAGGUUCCCCCAACCAGCAGGGAUAGUGGAGAAGCGGGAAAGGAGAAGCGUGCGUGCCCUGCUGGUCGUGGAGCGAGGGCUUCACGAUCGCAACCGAUUUCACUGAGUUUUGCAGACGUCUGGGGUUGUCGUGCCACUCGCAUUUCUCGCCCACGAAAGUUGUGGGGCCGCGCGCCAUGUGCAGCAGCUCUUCGUUGGAUGCGGCUAAGAGGGCCUGACGAGGUGAUGGGCUCUGACCCUCCUCUGUAGGUCAGACCCACCGGGCACGUGUGGCGCCCGAUUUGGAAUCUCGCUGCCCAUCAACUGGUGCCAUCCUGCCGUGCGCUGCUGACCAUUCCGGCGAUUCCUCGGUGUUCAUGGGUUGCCCCCGAUCAGCACACAGCGGCACGGGGGUGUCAGCGCGCUGUGCAUCGUUGCGUAGCGGGACACGAUUGGUCGACGCUUUUCAGGUCCUCCUCGCGACGCUCAGCCAUGAGUUGCCUCAGAUCCCUCCAGCGGGACGUUCUCCUCGGUGUCAAGCCGGCCGCCCGUGAUAAGGAAAGGCGACGAGAUGGACCCCUGCCCUUUGUGGAGGCGUCUGCUCGGUUUUGCAGUUACGGAAGAGUCCACGUAGCUGUGCACGGAGGUCUCGCCUCCCCAGGCCGCCUUUCGCUGUGCCCCUGUGGAAGACCGGGGCGCAAGCGGCAUGGGUGCGGUCUUGGGGGCCGUCGUACCGCUUCAUCUGAUGCGUCUGCGAACACAUAGAUCAACAUGAGAAGCUCCCGCAGCCAGCGCCGAGGCGUUGUUGCGCCAUGCACCUGACGAAGGUCAGAGGCCGCUGUGCCGCAAUCCUCGAGAAGGUCUUGCGUACGUCCGGCCGCCACGAUGGCGGACGGAGGCGAAGCCAAAAGUACGCUGCCGUGCCUUGCGGCAAGUCGACCCCCAUGCGGGGAUACCGGCUGGCUAGCGAUGUCGCGUGUGCAGGGGUAUGCAGCAGUCGCUUCUCUCCGCAGUGCUGACUUGGCGGUACAGCCCUCCUCCGGUCAGGUCGUCCGUGAGCGUGGCCAGUCGACUGCACGCGCAACACAGCUGCAUUGGAGUGCACUCUGGCAGAGGAAAAGGCAGCCCCGUGGCGUGUCGCCUUCCCGCGUGGCAAGCUUCCACCCCUGUGAGCACCUCAUUGUCUUGUCCCUCUAUCAGCCACUCGACGGGCAGCCCUGCCUUCAGAGCUCUUUGAGGGUUCUCGCGGCUGGUUCUGCCCCUCGGCGCGGAGAGGGCUGCCGGGAUCUUUGGCCCGUUAGUGCCUCUGCUGCCUAGUCCGCCCUUCACCCCCGAAGCUGUGCAAGACGGCGUCUGAAUUCGCCUGCUGCCGGACUCGGUGCACCCAACAUGCUUGACGAUGGCGGUCUCUGUCGGGGUGGUGACUGGUGAAGCGAUGAGCCGAAACACUCGUUCCGUUGAGCUGGCGCAUCGUCUGCAGAAAGAGAGGGGAGGAGAGAGUGCAGGGAGCGAGAGGGGCGUGUGCAUUGCAGCUGCCAUGCUGUGCAAGCAGAGGACAGGAUAGACGCCAGAGGCCAUGCAGGCAAGGAGGGGGUGGGGUGCUGGAUCAUGAGAACGCGCACAUCGCAGCCCUGCCCCUGGGCCCUCAGGAGACGGCAUGACGCCUUUUCUCGACAGCGGCCACUUGCCCAGUCCGUACAAUGGCCCAGAAGCGCUUGAGCGAUCUCGGAUUUCGCUUCGACCCUGAAGAUCUCGAACACAAAGGUGAAACAGGGACGAUGCGGUUCUGACCGCCUGCCUGCAACAAGUAUUUCACCCUGAGGUGCGUAGCGCCCGAAGAAUAAAAAGGAAGAAAGAAACAGAUGGAGGUGGAAUGAGGCAGUGAAGUAUUUGUAUUGAAUCGAUCUCUCUUUUUUUGUGUGUGCGCCUUCCCGCCGCAUCCCCUCCACUCCCUCGCUGACUCGCGCACGCUACAUGUGUUGCGGGACGAAAGCCAGGAACUUGUUUGCACCGGGUGAUAGAUGGAGCUACAAGGAGAGAGGAGCUCAGAAGGGGACGUAAGCAAAAAGCAGAACGCAUUUUUACAUACGAGGAAGUAGAGAAAGCGAGUGCGCAGCACAUAACAUCACGUAAAGCAAAAGGGCACGAAGCGCAAGACAGAGGGAGACUGUGAGAGGAAGCCUGCCGCGUCACUGCUCCGGUGGAGCUCGUUCUUCUUUGGCUCCUCUCAUUAGCUGCGAACUGCUUUUUGUGCUUCCUUCCUCCUUCCUCUCACCGAGAGCUUUCUAGCCUUCUUUUUGGGACUCACUGACGGCGUUACUGUGUGUGUGUGUGUAAACAGUGUCGCCGAUAAUGGCCUCUGUCUUUUUAUUUUUCUCAUCCGGUCAGCUCCGCCGUCCCUGAUAAUGGGUGACACCUCGGCGCGUGAUAUCAGGGUCCUGUACCCCGCCUUGUGUGGGGAAGAAGCCAGGCAGCCCCUAUCCCCUGCCAAUGCUGCACCGCACCUGGCGGUGGCAGGGUCAGGCGCCUACGACGUGGGGGAGGUCAGAGCGAUGCAUCGCUGCUGACGUGGGCGGCCAGGUCGUGGAUGGCGCUGCGUCGGAGCGACCCGCGACCGUGCACCGGGCUGCGCCAUCCAUGCUAUAUGGGCGGAGUGUCAGCGCGACUCGACCGCGACCCGCCCGGCCCUCACUGCCUCCUGGUGUGUGGCGCCUGCGCCACGCCGAGGGAUGCGCCGGGUGGCGGCCGGCAUAGUGGGGGCAGCUGUGGGGCUGCGUGCGCAGAAGAGGCUGGCAGAGGCUGAGGCAGGGCCCGUGCUGAGAUGGCUGCGCCGGCGCACGGCUGUGAUGCGCGUGUCUCUAGCGCUGCUUCGCACCACGCGAUGGGGGCCUGCGACGGGCCGGGGCUAGCGUGGCGUUGGGCUCCUGUUCUACGGCAGAAUGAAUGCGUCGCUGCAGGCAAAAAAGAGCACCGAGCUUUGUGCAAGGGGUGAGAAGGUGGGCUAAUGAAGAAAGUGGGACAUGUUGUGCAGUGCUGGUGCCCACCGCUGUCACGAGCAGCUCUUUGCAUUAUUAUUAUUAUUAUUAUUUUUUGCGAUGUCAGGUUGCCGGCUGGUACUCGUUGCCCCGUCCUUGCUGUAUAUUGGACUUUCUUAUGUAUGCUCUGUGCGAAGCGUGCAUCCGCCUCUUUAGAAAAGUGGAAGGAGGCUGCUCUCAAUCUCCCGGUGCGUGCUUGCGAUCUUGUUUCCUUUGUUACGUAAGUCGUGCUUCCCUUUCGUUUUAUAUUUUAUUACCACCUUUGCCGUCCCCACCAAGCCUUUUUCACUCAUCCUAACCCUUGCCCCUUCCUUUGGAGUUUCCCCUCCCCUGGCGUACGGGUUCACCUCCUCCCCCCUCACGGGCUCUAUUUUUCGGAGCUCGUAUGUGCGCAUCUUUUGUUUGUUUGGGGAGAGGGGGCGGGCCCUUUCUUGCUUUCUUCCUCCUCACUACUUUUGCCCCUGACUUGCUCUUCUCCCUCAUGCGCGCCCGCUGAUUUCCGUAACCCAGCUCUCUGCCGCUCUGCACUUCUUUGCAUGCUUGGAAGGCGUGCCACAAGAAGGAACCAUGGCGGGACGACCACAAAGCGAUAAUGAUGAUGAUGAGGAGUGGGUCAACGUGCUCUCCGCCAUUCCCCGUGACAUGCUUCACCAGGCACUUAUCCUUUCGCUGCUUUGAGCUUCGUGUUUCAGACCUUCGAGGAGUCGCGUCAUCGUGCGCGUUUCGCUUUGCCUCCACCUACACUCUUGCCUGUCCACUGCGACAGGGGAUCCCCUCUCGGGGUGACGGGCAAAGAGGGGGGAUGCGUAAGUCUACCUACUCGUGCGGAGUGUUACUGCGUGAUGACUCGAACACAGCAGAGCUCUCAUGGUUAGCGUUGCCAGCGCUAGAGGUUUUGGGAGCGCGAGUGUAGGGGUACGAGAUCGGUAUAUUCUGCCACGGAAAUCGGAAACUCGCCCGCGAGGAAGAGUUGGGAACACGUGGAUUGGAAUGCGUCAUGCUGAUCUUUCCACUCGAUUCCUUCUCUUCGUUUAUUCAGUUUGGCGGGCCGUUCGUUGUCGAUCUUGGGCGUAUCCAUUGUCGGCGUCAUUUUUUUUUCGCUGCUGAGUUCGCUCGUAUUGCGCUUGCUGAGCGGGCACGUGUCGCGCGCACGUGGCCGAUAACGUAUCACAAGAAAAUGAAGUAGCACUGCAGGAUAGAUGGAGCGUGUAGCGAGCGCGGUGUAGGUGAGUAGCGGCGUUUUUGAGUCGGGGAAAAAAAGGAGCGCGGAAAGCGGGCGCAAAGCUCGCUGCCUGAACGGCGACUUGAGGGAGCAACGAGAAGCGGUGAGGGGGGAGGAGGGAAGGGUGCACUGGCGUGCUUCUAUCUGCACGCCAGUGCCCACAUACACACACGGGAGCAGACAAGUAGCGAGCGAAAGCAAGC
rnacentral:misc_RNA from 1 species